AUGACCGUUCGUCCUCCUGGGCGACGAGGAGGCGGCGCUGCCGCUCGGCGUGCUCCGCACGGUCUUGCGCUGUGUUCAGACGAGGCGGCGGGGCGACGUCGAGCGCCUGCUGGAGCAUGUACACAUCUUGGAAGUUCAUCUGGCCGCGCGGCCGGCGUAGGCGCCACGCCGCCGCGUCGUAUGCGCGGGCGGCCUCGCGCGCCGUCCCGUAGGUGCCGAGGCCGAGCCGGAGAUCGCCGGAGCGUAUCUCCGAGUAGUAGCCGCCGUUGGGGCGUAGGCGGACGCCGCGGUAGCCGGACGCUCCUCGGCGGCGCGGCGGCAUGGCGGCGCGUCGGUGGCGGGGCGCUGGAGCGGCGCGUGGUAGAGAGGGAGAGGAAGAGGAGAAGAGGAGGCGUGGAGAAGGCGCGUGGCACGCGCCACAUUUUAUAG
rnacentral:rRNA from 1 species